UACAGAGGGGGCUAGCGUUAUUCGGAAUUACUGGGCGUAAAGGGCGCGUAGGCGGCCUGCUAAGUCGCACGUGAAAUCCCCGAGCUCAACUCGGGAACUGCGUCCGAUACUGGCAGGCUUGAAUCCGGGAGAGGGAUGCGGAAUUCCAGGUGUAGCGGUGAAAUGCGUAGAUAUCGGGAGGAACACCGGUGGCGAAGGCGGUUCUCUGGGCCUUACCUGACGCUGAGGAGCGAAAGCGUGGGGAGCGAACAGG
rnacentral:rRNA from 1 species